rnacentral:lncRNA from 1 species
GUUUUAAUUCCAUGGGUCAUUUUAUUAACUGCUUAACACACAUUUCCAAAGUAACCACACUCUUCCUGUGCCCAAAGCAUGAUUGGAAUGCCCGCUUGGGUGGCUAACUGGAAACCUGAUUGUCAGCAUGUAAAGUUUAACAGGGAAAAAAAACUGUUGGCAUUUUUCAGUGAUGUUAUCAGGUAGAUUGAUAGGUGUACACUUAUAAACACAGGUAUAUAGACACAGAUAGCAUGAUUGGCUAUAGAAAAGUCAGACUCAUUUCCUAUGUUCCCAAAAGCACAGAUGAGUCAAGACAGCUUUGGCUUUCUCACAAUGAAGAACAAGCAACAUCUUAGCAAGAAAGGCUGUGAUUUCAUGGAUAAGAAGAAGGAAUGGAGCCAGAAAAGGCAAAGACAUUGUCAUUCAGACGAGCAUUUGGAAACUCGCCGUUGGAGGGAUACCAUUGUGUGCUGUCUUUUCGCUUUUAAAAUGUUUUUCUUAGUACCUUUCCUUGGUAUGUUUUUCUUGGUGCUUCCCAUUGGAUUGUGUUUUGGUAUAUUAAUUCAUUUUGUGUUUCAUUAUAAUUUUUCAGCAUUAAUAUAAGUUGCCCUGAGACCCAUUUUUGGAUAUAAAUCCAACAAAUAAAUAAUCAGAUCUUGAAUAGAUAGAGGGCAGAGCCGGUCCAACAAUGAGGCAAAUUAAGCGGUUGCUUGGGACGCAAAACAUAUGGGGGCACAGUCAAGACUGCUUUUUCUGUUGAUUUGUUGUAAAAUAUGAUGUUUUGGUGCUUAAUUUGUAAAAUCUUAAUGUAAUUUGAUGUUUAAUAGACUUUUCCUUAAUCCCUCCUUAUUAUCCAACAUUUUCACUUAUCCAACGCUUUUAUUUUUCAGUGAUUGGUUUGGGGGGGUGCCAAAAUUCU